AGCCCUAAUUCUCACACAUCCCUCUCUUCCGCCGCCAGCUGUCUCUCUCAACCUAAGGAAUUCACAGGAUUUAUAGAAUUCCAUUUCCACACAAUUCUUUCUCAACUAUCCCUGCAUCCCAUGGAAGAGGAGAUGUCAAAGGAAGUACAAGUAGAUCAACCUAUUUUCUCAAGGAUACAUUUUAGUGGAUUGACAGUUGGAUUAUCCUAUCAAUUUGUAAUCCUUGUUUACUUAUCGGGAUGGGCAGCAUUGGAAAUAUUACGUUUAUCAAGUGAGACGGCAAACAUCGGAAAGACAACUCUUGCCAUAAGAUAAUAUGAUGAAACAUUCAAAAUUUAUUGAUAUUAGUUACAAUAUUGCGGAAAGAUAUGUUCCAUCUGGACCUCAAAGAGAAGAAAUUGGACAAGUUGGCAGAUGUAGUUCAGCAAUCUAUAGUCAAUUUUAUAAUAGGGCUACAACUGACAACAAGAACGACUGCCUAUCUAUAUGAUCCGCCAAAUGGAUUGCUUGCCAAAAAUGUUUAUUUAAUUGUAGAAAUGAGAGGGUCAUCAUUGGGACGCUCAACUACACACUCCGAUGGCUCACCACCACUUGGUCCUUUAAAGUUGUUGGACGAGAACAGUGAGGAAGAGUAUUCAACAGCCCCUAACGUUGAAGGGGAAGGUAGAGAUGCAGCUACUAAUAAUGCAAAAAAAUGGCCAACAUAAGCAAUAAGUCUUCCAAGCACAUAGUUGACCAGGGAGGACACUGCCAAACAACACUUUCAGAUCAAUAUAUUGAACAUUAUUGGAAAGAAUUUCAGGUCAAAUUGUGAAUUUUAUAUUUAUAACUCAAUUAUCAUAAAUUAUUUAAUACUUUAUUAAUUUGAGAAAGAUGCAAAUUGUGAAGCUUAUGAUCAAGUGCUAUGCAAGGAAGCUUUUCGUAAUCAGUGCAAAGCUAGAUACGGCGAUUCCAUGGAUUAUAAAAAAAACAAUGAAGAAAUCGGCCUACUUCACGGAUGCCCAGUGGACGACAUACACCAAUGCCUGGAAGCUUCCUGAGAAUAUCAAGGUUUCUGAUAGGUGCCUCGAAAAAUCGAAGACAAGGGCGGGAGACGGCCUUUGGAACACAUUGUAAUGGUUGUAUUCCAUUUGAAGAGAGAGUUGAAAAAAUGAACAAAAAAUUCACAAGGGAUGGUUUCGCAAAAUGCCACUCAGAUUAAUGAUGAUAUUGUGAGAAGGGCUGAAGAAUUAAGAGCCGAAGGGAUAGACGAUCCGGAUUUAGAUGCCAUCUUCUUGAGCUUCAUGGGAAGGUGAACAAGAGAAAGCAGAUUCCAGGUGUAGGAAGUGUAACAAAAUUAUACUUCCCAUCAGCUACUUCAGCAUAUGCAUCUAGGCGUUUGACCGGCAGUGACCCUAGGAAGAUGGACGAGCUCUAUGAGCAUAGACUUCAAGAAGAGCAGGAGCGAAUGGAAGCCCGGUUUGAAGAGAGAGUUAAAAAGAUAGAAGAAGCGUCGGAGAAGAAAAUGGAAUUGAUGAAGGAACAUAUGCAAGAACACAUUAAGACCUUAUUUACUGAAAAAUUUGGGUGAACUAUAUAGAUAUAGAUAUAGAUUAAUUUUGAACUCAUGACCUUGUGAAACAAUUUAAUCCGUGAUUUUGUGAAACAAUUUAAUUCUCGCAAUCCAUUUGGCAUUUUAAUUUUGUUUA